rnacentral:rRNA from 1 species
UAUGUGAAUGCAGAAUUCAGUGAAUCAUCGAAUCUUUGAACGCACCUUGCGCCCUUUGGCUAUUCCGAAGGGCAUGCCUGUUUGAGUAUCAUG